CUUGGCCUUUUUCUCCUUCUCUUUCUUCCCCUUCUUGUCUUCUUUACUGUAGGGACACAAAGGCCCCAGACCACAAUAAGAAACAGAGUCACUCCCAUUUAACGAACACUUACCUGUGCCAGGUCUUAUGAUGAGCGCUUUACAGAAAGAAUCUUUGCUGAAUCUUCAAAACAGCCCUAACAAGGCAGCCUUGUUAUUUCCAUUUCACAAAGGCAGAAACUAAGGGUCAAUUGUCCCAUGGAAGGAUGGGUGGAUGGGAGGAAGGAAGGAAGGAAGGAUGGAUGGAUGGGUGGAUGCAUGGAUGGAUGGGUGGAGGAGGAAUGAAUAAGGCAGGGAGGAAACUACAAAUUAGGAGCACCUGUGGGAUCUGGAACCUCCAGCACAUCCUGGGAGUAGGAAUCACAUUUUACUGGGCCUGAGCUGGGUCGUAGACAAAGCACAGUCUGGCCCACGCCUGUCCCUCAGGCAUCUUGGGCUCAGCUGAGAAUCUCCCAGCCAGGAUAGUGUCCUCCCAGCUCCUGAGCUCCUACUUCUGUCCCCAAGCCUUUGCCCAAAUUGGGAUCUUGCCCUGAAAGAGCCCCCAGCCCUGCCCACAUCCCUGAGCCAGGAUCAUGGGAGACGCUGAACCCAGAAGAGUUACCCACACCAAAUCACACACUUCUGCACAGUCCCUACACAAUCCCACACCACGGUCUUGUUCGACAGGUAUUUAUUAAGUGCGUACUGUGUGCCAGGCCCUGGGGCCAGAGCCAGGACCAAAGCUAAGUUCUGUUCACUUACUGGAAGCCACUAUCUAGUGUCGAGAAACCGGUAAAUGACUAAGAUAAUUUCAGCUGAUGAUACAUGCAAAGACGGAUGCAGGGUUGUGGCGGAGAGAGUGUCAGGAAGGCUGGUGGUCAAGGUGGGUUUCUGUGAGGAAGAAACAUCUGAGCAGGGACUGGAGGAGAGACGGAGCCAGCCAGAAGAUAUGACGAAAGGUGUACAAAGUAGAACCAACGAUACGGUUGGCCAGCAUGAGGAUGAAGACGAUGAACAGGAACCCCACGACAGCAGCCAGGCCCACCAGCCAUGGCUUCAGAUGACGCUCUGAGGCUGUUAGGAGCUUUUGGGAUCUUAGUUCCCUGACCAGGGAUUGAACCCGCGUCCCAGGC